UAGGUGCUGCAAGAGUCUGGAAAUCCCC
rnacentral:piRNA from 1 species